UUUCCUGCCUUUUUUGCUUAACCGGUCAAAGUUACCAACAUGCUCUUACUAUUUUUUUCUAUUUUGGCCUGUAACACUUAAAUCAGUUAAAAAAAAAGUAUUAAUGCAUGUAUAUUGAUAAACAAAAUCAGUUAAAAAAAAAAAAAAAAAAAGUAUUUAUGCAUAUAUUUUGGUGAACAAAAUCAGUAAAAAAAAAAAAGUACUAUUCUUUUCUAUUUUGGCCUGUAACACUUCAAACACUUAAUGGCUCAUCUACAGUCUUAGUCAGCACCUAACAAGGCUAGCCAAUGACUUUCCUGCCUUUUUUGCUUAACCGGUCAAAGUUACCAAUAUGCUCUUACUAUUUUUUCUAUUUUGGCCUGUAACACUUCAAACACUUAAUGGCUCAUCUACAGUCGUAGUCAGCACCUAACAAGGCUAGCCAAUGACUUUCCUGUCUUUUUGCUUAACCGGUCAAAGUUACCAAUAUGCUCUUACUAUUUUUUUCUAUUUUGGCCUGUAACACUUCAAACACUUAAUGGCUCAUCUACAGUCGUAGUCAGCACCUAACAAGGCUAGCCAAUGACUUUCCUGUCUUUUUGCUUAACCGGUCAAAGUUACCAAUAUGCUCUUACUAUUUUUUUCUAUUUUGGCCUGUAACACUUCAAACACUAAAUGGCUCAUCU
ensembl:lncRNA